UUCCGGUUGAUCCUGCCGGAGGUUACUGCUAUCGGUGUUCGCCUAAGCCAUGCGAGUCAUAUGUUCUUCGUGAACAUGGCGUACUGCUCAGUAACACGUGGAUAACCUGCCCUUGGGUCCGGCAUAACCCCGGGAAACUGGGGAUAAUUCCGGAUAACGCACAUAUGCUGGAAUGCUUUAUGCGUAAAAUGGAUUCGUCUGCCCAAGGAUGGGUCUGCGGCCUAUCAGGUAGUAGUGGGUGUAAUGUACCUACUAGCCAACAACGGGUACGGGUUGUGAGAGCAAGAGCCCGGAGAUGGAUUCUGAGACAUGAAUCCAGGCCCUACGGGGCGCAGCAGGCGCGAAAACUUUACAAUGCGGGAAACCGUGAUAAGGGGACACCGAGUGCCAGCAUCAUAUGCUGGCUGUCCGGGUGUGUAAAAUACACCCGUUAGCAAGGGCCGGGCAAGACCGGUGCCAGCCGCCGCGGUAACACCGGCGGCCCGAGUGGUGAUCGUGAUUAUUGGGUCUAAAGGGUCCGUAGCCGGUUUGGUCAGUCCUCCGGGAAAUCUGAUGGCUCAACCAUUAGGCUUUCGGGGGAUACUGCCAGGCUUGGAACCGGGAGAGGUAAGAGGUACUACAGGGGUAGGAGUGAAAUCUUGUAAUCCCUGUGGGACCACCUGUGGCGAAGGCGUCUUACCAGAACGGGUUCGACGGUGAGGGACGAAAGCUGGGGGCACGAACCGGAUUAGAUACCCGGGUAGUCCCAGCCGUAAACGAUGCUCGCUAGGUGUCAGGCAUGGCGCGACCGUGUCUGGUGCCGCAGGGAAGCCGUGAAGCGAGCCACCUGGGAAGUACGGCCGCAAGGCUG
rnacentral:rRNA from 1 species